AUGCUUUUGUAGUUCAUAAGCAUGAUGAUUGGGUGUUCACGCGGUUGUGUAAGAUGUGUCCCCCACAAACCUUGUUGCCACGUCGGCACAUUACCCCUCUGAUG